rnacentral:lncRNA from 1 species
AAUUUAGAGAUUGGGAUGAAGCUUAACUUCCAAGACAUAAUAUCUUUAGUUGACAAUCACAGUGCUUCUUGUAACUUUCUCUGCAGCAUUUGUAAUUGACCUUUUCUGAAGGUACAAAGAGUGGAGUGCAGAAGAAUAGAUGAAGGAGGAGGCUGGCUGGUCCAUACCUGUAGGGAAACUGGCACUGCUAUCUAAAGCAGCAGUACUUUGGAGAGGAUUUAAUGAACAUACUGACCAUCUCCUUGAGUAAACCAACUGAUUUAUAUUUUCUGUGUUCAACUGCUUGAAAACAUUCUUCAAGGAAACAACUGUCUAGACAAGAUCACAGUAAAUCCUCUGUUGCACAAGUGGUGGGAAAAGAGGAUGGCCUUGGCAUGAACGAGUCUUUAUUCUGUUGAGAGCUGAAAGGCGUGUUAGACUGGUUAAUGCCAAGUUGGCAGUCAAUCAUUUCAGCCUCACACUUGCUUAAAGAACAAAAAGAACAGCUAAUUACUCCAUGGAAUCAAAAUGACAUUCCCAAGCACUUCCCAAAGGUCAUCAGCAGUGUUGGAUUUUGAAGAGUCACAAGGAAACCUCUGUAACGAGAACAACAAAAAAAAAAACUGGCUGAAGUAAUAUUGUGCCUUUUUAUAUGGAUAAGCUACUGGAAAAUAGCAAAUUUCAAAUAGUUUGCUAAUCAACAGAGAA